CUCUGCUGGAUCUCUGAUGAUUGUUGCUGUAGUCGUGAUUUGCUGCAUCUCCAAGAAAUGUAGAAAAACAGUUAAAGUAGAUCAAACCCAGGAGGAAGACAGAACUGAUUCAGCAUUGGGUAAACCAACAACACCAAAAACGAAAUUAAAGAUGGAGGCUGUGUAUGAAAAUGUCCCCAAAAAACGAUGAUCAGCUUUGACUUUGGCUUGAGUUAUUUCUCUG